rnacentral:rRNA from 1 species
GAUGAACGCUGGCGGCGUGCCUAAUACAUGCAAGUCGAGCGAACGGACGAGAAGCUUGCUUCUCUGAUGUUAGCGGCGGACGGGUGAGUAACACGUGGAUAACCUACCUAUAAGACUGGGAUAACUUCGGGAAACCGGAGCUAAUACCGGAUGAUAUUUUGAACCGCAUGGUUCAAAAGUGAAAGACGGUCUUGCUGUCACUUAUAGAUGGAUCCGCGCUGCAUUAGCUAGUUGGUAAGGUAACGGCUUACCAAGGCAACGAUGCAUAGCCGACCUGAGAGGGGGAUCGGCCACACUGGAACUGAGACACGGUCCAGACGCCUACGGGAGGCAGCAGUAGGGAAUCUUCCGCAAUGGGCGAAGGCCUGACGGAGCAACGCCGCGUGAGUGAUGAAGGUCUUCGGAUCGUAAAACUCUGUUAUUAGGGAAGAACAGAUGUGUAAGUAACUGUGCACAUCUUGACGGUACCUAAUCAGAAAGCCACGGCUAACUACGUG